rnacentral:rRNA from 1 species
AUAUGAAUCCCUCAUCACUAACGGGCUAACCUAUAUUACAAUAGGAGAAUUAAUGCUAGAAUGAGUAACCUGGGUCCUCCCUCUACGACGCAAGCUUACAUCCACACAUUAUUAACAAGUUCCCCAUAUACGACAAAUCCAACAAGCAGAGUAUUAAGUACCUUGUUAACCCGACAGAGGAGCGUCCGUUAAGAAAGAUUAAAACCUGUAAAAGGAACUAGGCAAACCCGUCAAGGCCCGACUGUUUACCAAAAACAUAGCCCUCAGCAAACCAAAGGACAAGUAUUGAGGGUGAUGCCUGCCCGGUGACUAAGUUCAACGGCCGCGGUAUCCUGACCGUGCAAAGGUAGCGCAAUCAAUUGUCCCGUAAAUCGGGACACGUAUGAAUGGCUAAACGAGGUCUUAACUGUCUCUUACAGGCGAUCGGUGAAAUUGAUCUCCCUGUGCGAAAGCAGGGAUAACCCCAUAAGACGAGAAGACCCUGUGGAACUUCAAAAACAGCAACCACCCCAAAACACAUGCACCCCCAAAGCACUGGUUUGCAUUUUUUCGGUUGGGGCGACCUUGGAGCAAAAAAGAACCUCCAAAAAUUGGACCACAACUCCAAACUAAGAGCCACCUCUCAAAGUGCGAACAGCACCCAGACCCAAUAUAAUUGAUCAAUGGACCAAGCUACCCCAGGGAUAACAGCGCAAUCUCCUCCGAGAGUCCAUAUCGAAGGGGAGGUUUACGACCUCGAUGUUGGAUCAGGACAUCCUAGUGGUGCAGCAGCUACUAAGGGUUCGUUUGUUCAACGAUUAACAGUCCUACGUGAUCUGAGUUCAGACCGGAGCAAUCCAGGUCGGUUUCUAUCUAUGAUGAACUCUUCCCCGUACGAAAGGAUAGGAAAAGUGAGGCCAAUACCACAAGCAAGCCUUCGCCUUAAGUAAUGAAGCCAACUCAAUUACAAAAGGCUAUCACCCUCCCCCACGUCCUAGAAAAGGACAUCA